rnacentral:ribozyme from 1 species
UGCCCAGUAAUUCCUAUCCCUACCUCCUCGGGGUACGAGUAAGCUUGGGGAAGAUCGGGUAGUCAACUCCGGUGGGAACUUUGGUCGUAUGCUGACAGGGAUGG